UACAGAGGGUGCGAGCGUUGUCCGGAAUCACUGGGCGUAAAGGGCGCGUAGGUGGUGGCUUAAGCGUGCGGUGAAAGCUCGGAGCUCAACUCCGAGUCGGCCGUGCGAACUGGGCUCACUGGAGCAUAGUAGAGGCAGGUGGAAUUCCGGGUGUAGCGGUGGAAUGCGUAGAGAUCCGGAAGAACACCGGUGGCGAAGGCGGCCUGCUGGCUAUGGCUGACACUGAGGCGCGAAAGCUGGGGGAGCAAACAGG
rnacentral:rRNA from 1 species